rnacentral:rRNA from 1 species
GAUGAACGCUGGCGGCGUGCCUAAUACAUGCAAGUCGAGCGAACGGACGAGAAGCUUGCUUCUCUGAUGUUAGCGGCGGACGGGUGAGUAACACGUGGAUAACCUACCUAUAAGACUGGGAUAACUUCGGGAAACCGGAGCUAAUACCGGAUGAUAUUUUGAACCGCAUGGUUCAAUAGUGAAAGACGGUCUUGCUGUCACUUAUAGAUGGAUCCGCGCUGCAUUAGCUAGUUGGUAAGGUAACGGCUUACCAAGGCAACGAUGCAUAGCCGACCUGAGAGGGUGAUCGGCCACACUGGAACUGAGACACGGUCCAGACUCCUACGGGAGGCAGCAGUAGGGAAUCUUCCGCAAUGGGCGAAAGCCUGACGGAGCAACGCCGCGUGAGUGAUGAAGGUCUUCGGAUCGUAAAACUCUGUUAUUAGGGAAGAACAUAUGUGUAAGUAACUGUGCACAUCUUGACGGUACCUAAUCAGAACGCCACGGCUAACUACGUG